GACGGAGGGGGCUAGCGUUGUUCGGAAUUACUGGGCGUAAAGGGCGUGUAGGCGGAUUAGUAAGUUGGGAGUGAAAGCCCGGGGCUUAACCUCGGAACUGCUUUCAAAACUGCUAGUCUUGAGUGAAGUAGGGGGUGAUGGAAUUCCUAGUGUAGAGGUGAAAUUCUUAGAUAUUAGGAGGAACACCGGUGGCGAAGGCGGUCACCUGGGCUUCAACUGACGCUGAGGCGCGAAAGCGUGGGGAGCAAACAGG
rnacentral:rRNA from 1 species